GAGGAAUAUUGCCCAAUGGACGCAAGUCUGAGGCAGCGACGCCGCGUGGGUGAAGAAGGCCUUCGGGUCGUAAAGCCCUUUUCUGUGUGACGAGAACGGACGGUAGCACAGGAAAAAGUCUCGGCUAACUACGUGCCAGCAGCCGCGGUAAAACGUAGGAGGCAAGCGUUAUCCGGAGUUACUGGGCGUAAAGCGUGCGUAGGCGGGUCGGUAAGUGGGUCGUGAAAGCGCCGGGCUAAACCGGGCGAGGACGAACUAGACUGCCGGUCGAGAGGCGGAUAGAGGGGUGCGGAAUUCCGGGUGUAGCGGUGAAAUGUGUAGAGAUCCGGAGGAACACCAGUGGUGCAAACGGCGCCCUGGGUCCGAACUGACGCUGAGGCACGAAAGCGUGGGGAGCGAACG
rnacentral:rRNA from 1 species